rnacentral:lncRNA from 1 species
AAAAGGCUGAAAUGUGGGUUUAUUCAAACUGCCUGAAUGGAACUGAAAAGAGGAAGCUACAUCCCUUGUUAUAGCCUCUUAACAGCAGUUGGUCUCAAAAUGAACAGGAAAAAGAAAGUGUUUGUGAUAACCUGAUACAGAAAAGCUGGUUGGGUAAGCUUCAUAAAACACACAGUAUUUUUUUGCAGAUUUAGAAGUGUUCGUCAAUGCAACAAAAAAGGAGAUACUUGUAGGAGACAUUACAACAAAAGCAACAGGGCUGAAGACCCCAGGGAAACUAAAACCCCAGAACAACUGACAUCUUCCUGAGAUCUCUGAAAGAUCAAGCUGAAGUCUUAGAAGACUCCUCCAAGAGGCUGCCAUAUCACCUACACUCCCAUGAGCCCCAGUGUCCUGCUGUCUUCAGCUUCUGCCCGUACCUUGUCUCUCUACCAGGAGAAAGGCAGCAGUCCAGGAGCAGAAACAGCAGCAUCACAACAGCAACUAAACAGCAACUAAACAGCUUGUCCCAACAGCCACGGUGAUUUGUUUGAGAGGAAGAAGAAGAGGAGGAAGACUACUGAGAUUUCAACCAGAAAGGCUUGCAUACUGCUAUCUAAAUUUUUUUUUUGUAACCAAAGCAGUUAACUUGUAAACUGCUACCUGCAGAUCAUUUUGAGGCCAAAGAGGUAAGAAAUAAACUUAAAUGACUCUUCUGUAGUAUCUGUCCU